GGUACAUAAGACUUCUGAACCUGUCUGAUGCGAAUCGUUGCUCCGUUAUUUCCUCAUACGCUACUGUAAUCACAAGCCUAACAUUUUUUUCUGAGAGGACAUAUCUUUUGGUAUUGUAACACACGUUGUAGGACUAUACCUGCCUUGAAUCUCAAGUCACCAAAACUGGAACGCUUCACUGGAGUAUGCCAAAAUUCCAUAACGCGAGGACAAUCAUGAAGAGAGCGUUUUUAUUAAUAUUGGUGUUGGUCUUCAAUUUUAGGGCUGAUGUGCACGGUUCGAGCAAAAGUGAGUCACGCUUGACCGUUUACGACCUAAGACUAUGCGCAAAUUAUAAUUGUUCAGAAGACCCGUGCCCUAAGAACUGCAAAUGUCCACCGCAUAUUCCUUGGUCAUUGGGACGAACUAAUUGUUAUUGGCGUUAGCAGCGCCUUGUUAUUUUUCUACAAUAAACGGGUUGAUGAUAUGCAUCAGCUUUCA